AGUCGAGGGGUAUAGUUCUUCGGAAUUAGAGACCGGCGCACGGGUGCGUAACGCGUAUGCAAUCUACCUUUUACAGAGGGAUAGCCCAGAGAAAUUUGGAUUAAUACCUCAUAGUAUAAUGACUCGGCAUCGAGAUAUUAUUAAAGUCACAACGGUAAAAGAUGAGCAUGCGUCCCAUUAGCUAGUUGGUAAGGUAACGGCUUACCAAGGCUACGAUGGGUAGGGGUCCUGAGAGGGAGAUCCCCCACACUGGUACUGAGACACGGACCAGACUCCUACAGGAGGCAGCAGUGAGGAAUAUUGGACAAUGGGCGCAAGCCUGAUCCAGCCAUGCCGCGUGCAGGAUGACGGUCCUAUGGAUUGUAAACUGCUUUUAUACGAGAAGAAACACUGCUUCGUGAAGCAGCUUGACGGUAUCGUAAGAAUAAGGAUCGGCUAACUCCGUGCCAGCAGCCGCGGUAAUACGGAGGAUCCAAGCGUUAUCCGGAAUCAUUGGGUUUAAAGGGUCCGUAGGCGGUUUAAUAAGUCAGUGGUGAAAGCCCAUCGCUCAACGGUGGAACGGCCAUUGAUACUGUUAAACUUGAAUUAUUAGGAAGUAACUAGAAUAUGUAGUGUAGCGGUGAAAUGCUUAGAGAUUACAUGGAAUACCAAUUGCGAAGGCAGGUUACUACUAAUGGAUUGACGCUGAUGGACGAAAGCGUGGGUAGCGAACAGGAUUAGAUACCCUGGUAGUCCACGCCGUAAACGAUGGAUACUAGCUGUUGGAAGCAAUUUCAGUGGCUAAGCGAAAGUGAAUAGUAUCCCACCUGGGGAGUACGUUCGCA
rnacentral:rRNA from 1 species